AGCUAGAUGGCAGAAUAAGAGUUUUCUAUCAUCUCACAACAAAAGCAUCCAUUUCUACAACCACCCAUUGAUGAGAGUAUCUCUGAGGGUUCUGGGAGUCCAGCAGAGAAGUUCCAGCACACAAACGAAGCAAAAAAGUCUGAGAUGCGGAACGGUUUGGGGACCAACGAGAACUACAAUUCCCAGCAUCCUGUGCGGUGCAGGAAAAAAGACCGGGACCCGGGAAGAUAACAGGCAAGAGCUAGCCGCUCCUCCUUCUAAAGUGGUUAUGCACCUCUUUUCGCCGGCGGUGUCCACUCUCACGCAGGGACAGGUCACAGCGGCGCGAAGCGGAAAGGGAGGUCGUGGUGGUAGCUAUGGCGGCGGUGGCGGCGCGGACUGCAGUGACGGCGGCGGCCACAGGGACAGCAGGAGCAGCGGUGCUGUCAGUUAGGCCGUCGGAGAAAUGGGAGACCCAGGGUCCGAGAUAAUAGAAUCUGCCCCUCCAGCUGGGCCUGAGGCAUCUGAGUCCACAACGGAUGAAAAUGAAGAUGACAUUCAGUUUGUUAGUGAAGGACCAUCAAGACCUGUUCUUGAAUGUGUUGAUGUGAUCUGUGGUGAUGAUGAAAAGCCUAGCACCUAUUGUAGUGAUUUUAGACAUGAAGAUGAACAAAUUUUAAAAUUUAAAAUGACGUAACACUGAAAAAGAAUCAAUUGGAGAGGCAGAAACUACUAGUAGUACAACUUGGAACAGUAAACAAAAAGAAGUAUCACAUGGCAUAUGAAUGACUACAUUUGAAACUCGAAGGAAAGGAGGAAGCCAAUUUGUGCCGUACCCAGACAAGUGUCUGCAGUGGAGCACCUCCAGUUCUACAUCUAACACUGGAUUUUGUUGGAGAAUCUGCAGCCUCCCUGGCAGUGAGCGCAGACAGACAUGUGCAGUGACAGCCUGGGAGACAUCUGUGACAUCGCGGGCUCUCCUGACAGAGCAGCUAGCUUGCUGAAGCAGCUGCCUGUAGAUUCCACCUUAAGUAUCCACGAUGCAUCAAGCUAGAGAAUUUCUAGCAGCCAGAUAAGCAUGAAGUAUGUUUUGUUUGGAAAUACACAUUUCCCACCCCAAAAUAAAACUAGUGUAUGGAAAAGCUUUAAGUAAAUUCCUACCUCAAACCAAAUUCCAGGGAAAAAAAAUUAAAGGUGGAGUAAAGAGUUAAAAUUGAAGCUUUAAAGAAAAAUAAACUGAUGCAUAUUUUUUUGUUCUCUAAAGGGAAAGGACAUGCUCAGUAUAAAGGUGGUACAGCAAAAGUAGCCAAGUAAAAGCUUAUAGAUGAGUUUCUGAAUAUCUGUUCUGUGGUCUUCUCCAUGGAAAUGUUGUUCUGUUAAGAUUUUUACUCCGUGGUGUCCUUUUCAUCUGUUCUGUGACAGCUUUUUUCUGUGAAUGUCUUUCAUGCAUUUGUCAGUUUUGCAGCUCUUUGUCACAUUAUUACUUAGAAAAAUCUUCUACUGAUGCUGUGCCAUAGCCUUUCGUGAACAGAUUUUUUAAUGACAUGGUUUUUCCUGAUCCACCUAUUUUCACAUGGGUUCAUGAAUGGUGGUAGGGACCAGGGUUCCUUUCUAGACUUCAAACCUUUCAAAUCUCGCCUUACUUGACAGAGACCGCUGAUUCUGGCUGGUAUGAAUCCUCUGAGACAUUUUUUGUGUAGCCCUGCUCACUCUGGUUCUGUGCCCUGAGUGUGGAAGGAUUUCUGUCACCAGCCCUGCAUCCCCAGGUCCUUCACUGACAGCAGCAAACAGAGGACAGAGCCCCUGCCCUUCCGGAUGAGCCCUUCACCUUCAGGGAGUAUGAUUUUGUUGCAUCUGUCUGAGAUCUGCUGCUAGGAGCCCCCUAGAUUCUCUCUGUGCCUUUUGUCUCUACAUCCCAACCUCAUGACUCCUGCUGAAGCUCCGCCUACCUCUCCCCACUGUUGUUACUUUAGCUUUAUAGGGUAUAGAUUUUACAUUUCUGGAUGAGUUCCUCGUUUUCAGGAGGUAUAGUUUUGCUGGUAACUUUCUGAGAUCUGCCACUCAUGAGGCCUGUAGAUGUUCUCUUUGCAUUUUCUGUUUAAUUUUAAUUAAUGUCUUUUGGGUUCUGCUGAUACUGUCUAUCACUUUAUUUGCUGAAAAAGUGGGGCAAUAUUUUUUUGAUCUUUGUUUUCUUGUCGCUUUGUUUGCUUUAUCAGAGGGGAAGGGAAAAGAUAGUAACUACCUAAUUGGUUUCAUACCAGAGUUACAUCCAAUGUUGCUAUUCAGAAGCAUAAUGCAACUGUGAACCUCAUUCUUUUAUUCAAAACCUAUCUCCUCAUUCUCCUUGAGGCUCUUUUUAAUCUUCUUUUCUCUGAUAUACUAGAAUUGGAUGAAAAUGUGCCUGUUUAUCUUGUUUUUCCUCAUUGUGCUGGGUACAUGAUGGACCCUUUCAAUCUAGAUACUUGCAUCCUUCAAUUCUGGGAAAAUUUAUUUUAUUACUAUUUGUAUAAUUUCUAUGUAACAUUCUCCUCCCCACAUUUUAUUUUAUCUUCUGGAAUUCCAAUUAUCCUGGAAAUCCAAUGGUCAUGUACUGAGUAUGUCUCCUAUCUUUUCUCUACAUUUAAAAAAAAAAGUCUCUGGGCUUUUUUGUUUGUUUGUUUCUGAAAGAUUUCUUAAACUGUAUAACUUACAGCCAGCCAUCUAUUGAAUUUUUUAUUUCAACUGUCAAAAUUCUAGUUUCCAGGACCUGUUUUUUGUUCUCUGUUUUCCUUAUUAAAACACUGUGUUUAUUGCCAGGUGCUCUUUAUUUAUUCCUCUGGGAAAACAAUUUUAAAAAUAUAUAUUUCUGGGCAUAUUUGUUUCACCCAAGAACUCUUUUUCUCAUCUUAAAUAUUCAUUUCCUCCCCAAGGCCUUUCUAUUUUAUAGAUGUUCUUUUACAUUUAAUCUUAUUACCUGGGGAGCUUCACCUGUGAGUCCCCGGGUAGAAAGCCAUUUGUUUUUGGGGGGAUAACCUACAUAUCAGUCUGAUCCUGAGUCUUUUGAUUGCUGCUGAAUUAAGUGUUCUCCGGAAGAUCCCUUGGUUCUCCUGGCUAAUAUUUUGCAGACAGGACAGGAGAAAGUGGCUAAAAGUGACAAUGUUCCAAAAACACUUUCAAUGAAUUCUUUUUUCAGCUGUCACUCAUGCCCACAACUACACAUGGUGUCCUGGGCCCUGGAUAUCUCCUUUUAGCUUAAUGCAGAGAAUGUCUUGUGAGUAAAUAUGUGGAGAUAUGUAAGAGGAGGGACUUACAGUUCCUGUGUGCAGUCUUUCAACCUUUCUGUUAUGUAGAACCUUAGCUCCAUCAUCCAUUGUACCUGGUGUCAAUUCUUAGCCCCUUCUGAGUUUUCUGGGGCAAACUGAUUUGCUUCCUCUGCCCUGUGAAAUCUCCAUCUAUUACUACUCCAUCUGUUUUGUCUCCCACAUUUUUCUCAAUUGUCUAAUGGAGAUAGUACCAAAUGAAUACCCUAUAAAGUUGUAUGGAUCAAAUGAAGUUAUGUAUGUAGUAUGCAUAGCACAGCAUGUGGCAUGUAAUAAUCAGUCUAUAAAUGGUAGUUCUUUAUAUUAUAGAACCUCUCAAAAUUCCAGACAGACCUAGUCGUAUUAAUUCCCUAGUUAUGGUGUCUGUCCCCCACCCCAAAAUCUCUCUUACUGUCUUUGUGAACAUCAAUUUCUUUAUAUUCAUCUUUGGAAAAAAAAUUGGGAGAGGUGAAACUCAUGCUUUAAUUCUGCCAUUUCAAUGUCUUAAUUACUAGAGAUUUGUAAACUAUAACAUAGUUAAUUAUAAAGCAAUAUUCUUUUUAAAGAAUAUUUGUACUAUUCAUAAAUUUAUUAAUCCAGAUGAGUUUUACAAUCAUUUUGAUUUAUCUUCCCCCAUCCCCCUUUACCCCAAAAUACUCUUGAUAUUUUUAUCGGAAUUACACUUAAGUAAUUUUCAAAUCUGGGAAGAAGUUAUAUCUUUACAAAACUGAUUCUUCCAAUUCAGAAACAAGGUCUUCUUAUAUUGAAUAUUAUAGUUUUUCUUUUCCUCAGUAAAUUUUUGCAUUUUUUUCAUAAUGGUCUUACACACUUAGGAAUUUGGUUCUUUUGAAUGUUUUUAUAUUUUAUAUGUUGCUACUCUAAAUGGAACAUUUUUACUUUUAUAAUUGGUCAUUGCUGUGUAGAGAAAUUUUGAUAUAUGUUUUCUUUUUAAGUUUCCACAUUACUCUUUUUGUUUUUUGGGUAGGGGAAAUAAACCUUUCAUCUUCAAAUAAUGGUCAUUUUACCUAGUCUUUCUAAUACUUUUUGCUACUUUGCUGUCCUUACCUCAGCAUUGUUUAUGAUUUCCAGAGAUACUAGUCGUAGUUACAGACAUGUUCAUUUUAUUCCUCACUUGAAUAGGAAUGUCUUCAGUGUUGUUAUGUCUGCUUACUUGUUUUGGUUAGAGAUAGGACAUUCUUUAACAAGUGUCCCAAUGGUUUGUAUUUUGCUUUUCUGUGUUAAGCAAGAAUGUACCAGAAAGUGUGUACACACAGACACACACACAUCAGACAUAUACUGACUAUAGGCAAACAAUUAUUUGGGGUUCUAAUAUCUGGGAACUUUGUGGUAGAUAAGCUAUAUCCUCCAUGGAAAAAAAGGGACUAUUUUGUAUUGAGAGUGGCAGGACCCAGAGGCAAAAAGGAGGAGAAAGGGAAAUAUAGGAGCACUUUGGAGAGCUAGCUCUAUCUGCUCCUCAGUCCUGGGACCACUUCCAGGGCCAUUUGCUUCCCACACAGUUCCAUUUUAUGAUCACACUAACAGUGUGUGAACACUGUACCUCAUGAUUUUAAAGGUAAUCCAUCGGUUUGGCAUUAUUCUAUCAUGAUUAACCUGAACAUGCAAACAGCAAUUGUGCUAUCAAUUGACACAGAAAAAAGCACUUGACAAAAUUCAGCACUCAUUUGUGAUAAACACAAAAAACUAUGGAAAACUUAUAGUUAACAUUAUAUUUAAUGGUGUAAGAGAGAAUGCUUUCCCCCUAAGAUCAGGAACAAGGCAAAGAUUUCCAAUCUACUAUUUUUAUUCAACAUCAUGCUGGACAUUCUAGCCAGUACAUGAAAGCAAGACAAGUAAAUAAAAGGCAUGCAGUUUGGAAAGGAAGGAAGAAAAACUGUUGCUAUUUGCAGAUAAAAUUAACCACAUAGAUAAUCCCAAGGAAUCUACAAAAAGAAAAUCCUGGUAAGAGUAGCAAGUGAGUUCAGGGAGGUGACAAGAUAAUGAGA